rnacentral:rRNA from 1 species
UACGUAGGGUGUAAGCGUUGUCCGGAAUUAUUGGGCGUAAAGGGCUCGUAGGCGGUCCAUCGCGUCGGGAGUGAAAAGCUGGGGCUUAACCCCAGUCCUGCUUCCGAUACGGGUGGACUAGAGGUAGGUAGGGGAGAACGGAAUUCCUGGUGUAGCGGUGAAAUGCGCAGAUAUCAGGAGGAACACCGGUGGCGAAGGCGGUUCUCUGGGACGGUACUGACGCUGAGACGCGAAAGCGUGGGGAGCGAACAGG